GAGGGGGCUGAGGGGGCGGGUGAUGGCGGCGGCGGCGGGCUGCGAGGCGUGAGGGGCUGCCAGGGUACCGCUCCGCCGCUGAGGAGAUUUGUCGGCCGGCGGGGAGGCGGUUCAAGCCCUCAGAGGACGCCGAGCCCCGGGCGGGAACAGCCCUGCCUGGGCGACGGCGGCGGGAAUGUGGCGGAUAAAAUGGAUCUGUCUCCUGGGCGGUUGUAAAGUGAGGUAAAAGACUGUAGCGGGUGUGGUGGGAGGCCAGCCCAGUGACCGAGUCAGCACACGGAGGUUUAACAGGAGGUGCUUAAACCAGCCCGUCAGCCAAUUUGUGUCCUGGCAGGGCUCGGACGGCGCUGGAAUUGCGGGGUUGUCUUCGCCGUCCCGGUGCCGAGGCCGUAGCUGUCGUCUCCGCAGAUGUCCGGCAUCUGCCGUGGUGGAGACUGAGCUACCGGUGUAUUUGGAUCAUCUUUAAAAAAAGACCUACAACCUUACCUCUAGCCUCGCGCUGAAGUGAAUGAGCCGGCGUAAACAACUUGGCGUUUACACCAGAAUGAGGAGACGCGCACGGUUCUCCUGUCUGCACGGAGAAGAAAUCGGUUUCUUCAUUGUGGUUUCAAACUCUUCUCGAAGUCACAGGAAACGGCACAAGUGGAAGUAAUAUCAGCAAGGCUUGUCUCCCAGCACACCAGUUGAUGCUGCGAAUGUCCUUAAAUCCUGAAGCUCAGAGCUGCAAAUCAAAGCAAAGCUGAGGAGGCAGCUGUGACGGAAGGAUUGCAUAAGGGGCUUAGCCUGAGGCUGCUUGUGGCUGCAGCAGCUCAGAGGAGAGCAGCUUUACCUUUGCCUCCAUCUAAAUGGAUGCCCAGCGCCCAAGACCAUGUCCAGGAAUGACCCAGGAUGCCCAGCGCCCAAGACCAUGUCCAGGAAUGACCCAGGCUCCCAAAAGCCACGUCCUUCUGCAAGAACUAAAUUCUCAUGUGCUCACACACCUCACUUUAAAAAAUGGGGCUGAGCUCCUAUGGCACUUACAGUCUCACAGAAACUGCGUGUUCAGCCUCCUAGUCCUGCCUGCAAUGUGAGCUUUUUGCUUUUUCUCCUUAAUUUCAGGACACUGAUGUCUGCUGAUUUCUACUAGUUGUUCUGCGACAUGUAACUGGGAUGAAAUCAAUGUGCUUCUAAAAAUUACUCCAAGAACUAUGUUAAUAACAGGGCAGGAUUUCCAACCUAUACCCAGAAUGGUCUGCUUUUACCACAACAUACCAUCCUAUGGGAAGGAUGUAAUUCUCUAUUAAAACCUUUAAAGUAGUUUUCUCUAAGGAACUAAUCACAUGUAUUUGUAGCUGAAUAUGUUUUCUUGCUUAUGAAGAGAAUAGGCUUGCAAAGAGCUGCAGAAAAGGCCUUUGAUGCAACAUAAUUUUUCUUUCCCCUGCAAGUACUGUACUGGCGUGCAGUGACAGGUCAGCAGAAUUAUUUUGUAUCUUACAUACUUCUUUAUUUUGCAACUUCCAGGAUGCACUGAUAUCCUCCAACAAAAAAAACCGGCCAAAUACAGAUGACUAGACUUGACUGUCUUGGUAUUUGUGAACUAAAAAUCAAACUAAAUUCAAACAAAUUCUCUCUUGUAGCAUUCUUUAAAGAAGGGGUAGGGAUGGGUGCACAAAUUAGCCCUUACUUGCCUGCUCUGCAGUUUGGUUUUCAAGCUUCCAGAAGCCAAACCUCACCUUUCCCUCUGAAAUGGUAAAGUUUUAAAACUACUUUAAACAGCAUAAAUAUUUAGAAAGCCUUUUUUUUCAUGGCAUUUCAAGGUACAGUGAGGGGCCCUGCAUACGGUGAAGUGCCUUAAGUCACCAAUGCCAUCAUCUUGGAAUUGGCUGGACCUUUAUGUAAAUGUGAUUUAACACUAUCUAAGUGGUUUCAGUCUGUCAUUGAUUUGUUCCUGGCAGUACUUCUGGAGCCUGGUUCUCCUCAUAUGUACUAGCAAAAAUCAGGAGGAGGUAAUGAAGUCAGAGGCGCUGUGUAAUGUAUAAAAUGGGCCGCUGACUUUCAAUGUCAGCAAUUCCUUAAACUGUAAUAGUAUUAGAAACUAUUCUAAGAAUAAUUCUUUGUGCUCUUGUAUGCUUCUGCAGAGUGUCAGGCUAUGUUCAGUGCUACUCAAAUUAGAAUUUAUUUUUUUAAAUGAUUCCCCCCCCCCCCCAGAAAAAAAACAUUCUUCCAUUUUUAUCUCCAGGAAAAAGAAGUGGGAGUUACAAAGGCGAGCAAGUCGAUCAUUUUUUCCUCAAGAUCAACAAAACUGAUCGUUUCACUUAGAGUUCUUUUUUCUAACACAGAGAGCAGAAGCUGGUCUCAGCUGGACCCGUACCGGGUUUGGUUCACCCUGCUGCCAGAGCGUGGGGAGCAGCUACGACGCCAGGCCAGGAGGAGCAGGAGGACCAGGCUAUAGGGCAGCGCAAAGCUGGGUCAGGCGAACAGAGUCACAAAGCAACAACCUUAGGUGCUUCAAACCAUCGUUGGGGGCCCAUCAGCUGGGUGUUGCGGGUGAAUUCAGCCUGCACCCUCCUCCAUGUCAUGUCUUCCCAUCAGCAAAGUGGAUAGCACUGUACACCAUCAUCAUGUAAUAUCUUAGAGACUGCGAGGCCCCCGGAUACUGAGCAAUGGGAUUUCUCUGCUGAAAAAUAUACCUUAUGUUCACUUGUUGUGAAGCAGACACUGGGUUUGUGUAAAGAGCUGCAGAGCAGCUGCAAAGGAUGGAGUUACCACCCGUGCCCGUGGCCAGGCAGCUGGCACACUGUGACCAGUGCAGCCUGAAUCUGGCUUCUUGUCUCAGCCAUCGCUGCUCUGAGACAUAACGGAGCAGUGUGGUGGUGGUGAUGGUGGCGGUGACGGUAGCCAGCUCCAAAUCCCACUUCUGAUUCCCCCUCCACUGAAGUCAGAC